ensembl:lncRNA
AGAACCUCGUGUGGUGCUGUCAUAUGUAAAACGUAAACUCUGUCGGAGGCUAUGUGUCUGUUGUUAGUAAUAUAAAGGUAAGUUUGUGUAUCAACUGUCUCUGCGUUUUAUACAGAAAUAUCUGCGGUUCUGCUUUUCAACCCGCAUUUAAUACCCGCUUUAGUUAAUCCAGGCUUCGAUUACAUCAGAUGUGUCUGAGGUCAACUGAAAGGAGUUAAAUUUUUCGGAACGUGUUGCUGAACACGUUCAGUUAUUGUUGUAUUAUCAUCAUACGAUACAGGUGUUUAAUGUUCACAUGAACACGUAGUGUGAGUUUUAAUCUUUUGUUAUUGACGAGGCUGGACGAGAACGUUGUUUCCUUUGCCAACGAAUCGACUCUCAGGUGAAUAUGCGUAGUCGACUCUUUUAGGUGAAUAUGCGUAGUGGACUCUUUUAGGUGACGUUUAAGUGCCGACUCUUUUAGGUGAAAUAUGCGGAGUCGACUCUUUCAGGUGAAUAUUAGGAGUCGAAUCCUUUAGGUGAAUAUUAAGAGCCGACUCUUUUAGGUGAACAUUAAC